AUUGAACGCUGGCGGCAGGCUUAACACAUGCAAGUCGAGCGGAGAUGAGGUGCUUGCACCUUAUCUUAGCGGCGGACGGGUGAGUAAUGCUUAGGAAUCUGCCUAUUAGUGGGGGACAACAUUCCGAAAGGAAUGCUAAUACCGCAUACGCCCUACGGGGGAAAGCAGGGGAUCUUCGGACCUUGCGCUAAUAGAUGAGCCUAAGUCGGAUUAGCUAGUUGGUGGGGUAAAGGCCUACCAAGGCGACGAUCUGUAGCGGGUCUGAGAGGAUGAUCCGCCACACUGGGACUGAGAUACGGCCCAGACUCCUCCGGGAGGCAGCAGUGGGGAAUAUUGGACGAUGGGCGGAAGCCUGAUCCAGCCAUGCCGCGUGUGUGAAGAAGGCCUUUUGGUUGUAAAGCACUUUAAGCGAGGAGGAGGCUACCUGGAUUAAUACUCUAGGAUAGUGGACGUUACUCGCAGAAUAAGCACCGGCUAACUCUGUGCCAGCCGCCGCAGUAAUAC
rnacentral:rRNA from 1 species